CCUACGGGUGGCAGCAGUGGGGAAUAUUGGACAAUGGGCGAAAGCCUGAUCCAGCCAUGCCGCGUGUGUGAAGAAGGCCUUCGGGUUGUAAAGCACUUUCAGUGGGGAAGAAAGCCUUGGGGCUAAUACCCUCGAGGAAGGACAUCACCCACAGAAGAAGCACCGGCUAACUCCGUGCCAGCAGCCGCGGUAAUACGGAGGGUGCGAGCGUUAAUCGGAAUUACUGGGCGUAAAGCGCGCGUAGGCGGUCUGAUAAGCCGGUUGUGAAAGCCCCGGGCUCAACCUGGGAACGGCAUCCGGAACUGUCAGGCUAGAGUGCAGGAGAGGAAGGUAGAAGUCCCGGUGUAGCAGUGAAAUGCGUAGAGAUCGGGAGGAAUACCAGUGGCGAAGGCGGCCUUCUGGACUGACACUGACGCUGAGGUGCGAAAGCGUGGGUAGCAAACAGGAUUAGAUACCCCGGUAGUC
rnacentral:rRNA from 1 species